AGCUUUUCGGAAGACUGGGAAGAGCACCGAUCCACAGGCUGCCUUCAACAAUUUGGACUGGUUUCAAGGGAAGCUGGACAGGCUGUAAAAUGCAGAACAAGUAUCUUAUCACCUUGGAGGCAUUCACAAUCUGAGCUGUGAGGACAAACAAGAUCUUAAACUUAAGGUUACAAAAGUUGAACUUCUGGACUACAAGCAGCUGGCCCAGCCAGCACCUCCACCAUGGUCCUGGGCCCAGAAGCAUCUAGCCUCUAACCUUUGAGACUCACACACACACACACACACACACACACAGUUCUUCAAGCUCUGCCACUCAAAGACGCAUUCCUUUAGUCCAACCUCCUGGGAGAAAGAGGGUGCGAUGCAUUAAGUCACCAACACCUCUGUGUGAAUGUAUUAGUCAGAUUCUUCCCACUGCAUUAGCCGGGUGUUAAGAAACUCCCAAACACUGAGACAGAAGGUGAUUGAAAAGAGAUGGGUGUGGGGAGGAGAGCAGGGAGCAGAAGCCAGUCCUUCCCGGGGCCUGAUGCUCUGGAGAACAUCUGGAAAGGGCUAGAGACCCUUCAAAGCUCAUUUGCAACCAUCCAUUCUCCAGGCCUGGCUUCUCCUGGGGUGCUCUUUGUCCACUGUCCCUGGGGGGUCUGUUUUCCAGUGCAGAGGCGGUGACAGGGUAACAGAUGCGCCAGUGUGCAAGCAAGCCACUGCAGACAAAAGGCUGCUGCUGCAGAACACUGGCCUUAGGGGUCACACCAGGUCACUGAGAAGCAAGCCCAGGUGGUUUCUACCUGUCUGCCCCUCCCCAGCUCAUACCUGGCACAUGAUGGCUUAUGGGGCCCAUCUGUCCUGCUUCCAAGGCACCUCUCCCAGACCACCAGGUAUUAAUUAUCAUAACCACUGACUUAGACAUAGCAGCCAUUAAUAAACUGAACAACACUCACAUCUUACCAAUCUUUGCCAGGCACUAUGUAUAAUUGCCAUAGCUGCCAUUCAUCAAGCGAGACCUGACAUGCAUUAACUACAGUGCCAUUACCCACAUCAGACUUAUGCACGAGAAUGCUGUGAGUGGAGGAGCUGGUGACUCUUGAGGCCGUGGAGCAGAACACGUAGGUCCGCAUGUCUCUGAAGCUGGUUUCUCUGCUGCCUUCCAUACUACCCUGCCUCUCCCUGUCUCAAAAACAUCCCUGCAAGUGCAGAUGAGGACCCCGGUUUUUCGGAUGUGGUGACGAUGAAGAAAUAGAGGCUCAGAGAGUGAGGGCCCAGGUCUAGCCACUCUAGAUUCUUCACUUGGAUAACCAAGAUGACUGCGGCAAUUCCAGACCUCCCAGUUUUGUGCCAACCUGCAAAUCAAGAUGCAGUCCCUGCAGCUCUGUCCACUUUGGGACUUGAUACCUUCCCCAAAGCAAUGACUUGGGCUGGUGAGGAUAAAUGUGCUCUUUAGAUGAGA